UACAGAGGUCUCAAGCGUUGUUUCGGGAUUCAUUGGGCGUAAAGGGUGCGUAGGUGGCGCCGUAAGUCGGGUGUGAAAUUUCGGAGCUUAACUCCGAAACUGCAUUCGAUACUGCGGUGCUUGAGGACUGGAGAGGAGACUGGAAUUCAUGGUGUAGCAGUGAAAUGCGUAGAGAUCAUGAGGAAGACCAGUGGCGAAGGCGGGUCUCUGGACAGUUCCUGACAGCUGAGACACGGAAGGCCAGGGGAGCAAAACGGG
rnacentral:rRNA from 1 species